GAUGAACGCUGGCGGCGUGCCUAAUACAUGCAAGUCGAACGAAGGCUUCGGCCUUAGUGGCGCACGGGUGCGUAACGCGUGGGAAUCUGCCCUUAGGUUCGGAAUAACAGCUGGAAACGGCUGCUAAUACCGGAUGAUAUCGCGAGAUCAAAGAUUUAUCGCCUGAGGAUGAGCCCGCGUUGGAUUAGGUAGUUGGUGGGGUAAAGGCCUACCAAGCCGACAAUCCAUAGCUGGUCUGAGAGGAUGAUCAGCCACACUGGGACUGAGACACGGCCCAGACUCCUACGGGCGGCGGCAGUGGGGAAUAUUGGACAAUGGGCGAAAGCCUGAUCCAGCAAUGCCGCGUGAGUGAUGAAGGCCCUAGGGUUGUAAAGCUCUUUUACCCGGGAAGAUAAUGACUGUACCGGGAGAAUAAGCCCCGGCUAACUCCGUGCCAGCCGCCGCAGUAA
rnacentral:rRNA from 1 species